UUAAGCUACAAGAAGGCGCACUGAGGAUGCCUUGGGACUAACCGGCGAAGAAGGACGCUGCCAAUCUGCGAAAUGCCACGGGGAGCUGAUAAGCGAGUAUUGAUCCGUGGAUGUCCGAAUGGGGAAACCCCUUAUGCGGUGACGCAUAAGAUCCUGUACUGAGUGAAGUAGGUAUAGAGAAGCGAACGUGGGGAAUUGAAACAUCUUAGUACCCACAGGAAAAGAAAUCAAACAAGAGAUUGCCCUAGUAGCGGCGAGCGAAGGGGCAAUAGCCUAAACCGAUGUCAUGUCAAUCUGACUGGAGUUGUGACGUUGGGGUUAUGAGAGCAAUUGGGUACAUCAGUCAAUGUACCGCGAAGUAAGAAAUCACAUUUUUAACUGAAGAGUCUGGGAAGGCUCACCAUAGAGAGUGAAAGUCUCGUAAGUGAAAGGAAUGUGACUUCGUGGAUUGUUUCUCAAGUAAUACGGGACACGUGGAAUCCUGUGUGAAGUAGGGGAGACCAUUCUCCAAGGCUAAACACGAGUUAGUCACCGAUAGUGAACUAGUACCGCGAGGGAAAGGUGAAAAGUCCCCCGUUGAGGGGAGUGAAAUAGUAUCUGAAACAGUGUGCUUACAACCUGUAAGAGAGCGUUGAUCAUCCAUGGUGGUGAUUAGGCUUGAUUACGUACCUUUUGCAUAAUGAGCCAACGAGUUACGAUAUGUGGCAAGGUUAAGGCGAAGAGCCGGAGCCAGAGGGAAACCGAGUCUGAAUAGGGCGAAACAUUAAGUCGCACGUCGUAGACCCGAAACGGGAUGAGCUACCCAUGACCAGGUCGAAGCGUCCGUAACAGGGCGUGGAGGACCGAACCGGUGGGCGUUGAAAAGCUCUCGGAUGAGUUGUGGGUAGGGGUGAAAGGCCAAUCAAAUUCCGUGAUAGCUGGUUUUCUCCGAAACAUAUUUAGGUAUGGCCUCGUACGAACACUAUCGGAGGUAGAGCACUGACUGGGCUAGGGGCCUUACCGGGUUACCAACCCCUAUCAAACUCCGAAUGCCGAUAAGUGAUGUACGGGAGACAGACGGUGGGGGAUAAGCUUCAUCGUCAAGAGGGAAAGAACCCAGAGCGCCGUCUAAGGCCCCAAAUUCAUAGCUUAGUGGGAAAGGAUGUGGAUUUACACAGACAACCAGGAGGUUGGCUUAGAAGCAGCCAUCCUUUAAAGAAAGCGUAAUAGCUCACUGGUCGAGUGAAUCUGCGCCGAAAACGUAACGGGGCUGAAGCUAUGAGCCGAAGACGCGUCAUUUUAGAGAGUGUCGUCUCUCUGAGAUGGGUAGGAGAACAUUGUGUAUGCCGAAGAAGCGUGAGCGAGAGCACACGUGGAGGUGGCACAAGAGCUGCUGUUGGCAUGAGUAGCGAUAAACAAGGUGAGAAUCCUUGUCGCCGUAAGCCCAAGGGUUCCUGAGCAAGGUUCGUCCGCUCAGGGUUAGUCGAUACCUAAGUCGAGGCCGAAAGGCGUAGACGAUGGAUAGCAGGUGAAUAUUCCUGCACUCGCAUGAAAGCGUUACUAAUCAAGUGGUGACGAAGAAGGUUAAGCGUAGCCGGCUGUUAUGGUUGUGCCGGUUCAAGGUUGUAGGUGGAAUCUGGAGGUAAAUCCCUGGGUUCGUUAACACCGAGAGCUGAUGACGAGAGUCAAAGACUCGUAAAGUUGCUGAUACCAUGCUUCCAAGAAAGAGCUGCGUGAUGAGUUUUCAUGUGAAUCGUACCGGAAACCGACACAGGUGGGCGGGAUGAGAAAUCUAAGGCGCGUGAGAGAACUCCGCUUAAGGAACUCUGCAAAUUAACACUGUAACUUUGGAAUAAAGUGUGCCCGUAAUGGUGAAGUCGUACAGACGGAGCUGAGACGGGUCGCAGUGACUCGGGGGUAUCGACUGUUUAACAAAAACACAGGGCUCUGCGAACACAAACGUGGACGUAUAGGGUCUGACGCCUGCCCGGUGCUGGAAGGUUAAGGUGAGGGGUCAAAAGGAGUAAUCCUUUGAAGCUCUGAACUUAAGCCCCAGUAAACGGCGGCCGUAACUAUAACGGUCCUAAGGUAGCGAAAUUCCUUGUCGGGUAAG
rnacentral:rRNA from 1 species